rnacentral:misc_RNA from 1 species
UCCGGUUUGUCACCGGCAGUCUCCCUAGAGUGCCCUUGCGUAGCAACUAGGGACAAGGGUUGCGCUCGUUGCGGGACUUAACCCAACAUCUCACGACACGAGCUGACGACAGCCAUGCAGCACCUGUGUUCCCGUUCCCUUUCGGGCACAGCGAGAUCUCUCUCGCCUCCAGGACAUGUCAAGGCCAGGUAAGGUUCUUCGCGUUGCAUCGAAUUAAGCCACAUACUCCACCGCUUGUGCAGGCCCCCGUCAAUUCCUUUGAGUCUUAACCUUGCGGCCGUACUCCCCAGGCGGUCGACUUCACGCGUUAGCUUCGUUACUGAGAGUGUCAAACCCCCAACAACCAGUCGACAUCGUUUAGGGCGUGGACUAC